CAGUCGCCGCGGUAAUACAGAGGAUGCAAGCGUUAUCCGGAAUGAUUGGGCGUAAAGCGUCUGUAGGUGGCUUUUCAAGUCCGCCGUCAAAUCCCAGGGCUCAACCCUGACAGGCAGUGGAAACUACCAAGCUGGAGUACGGUAGGGGCAGAGGGAAUUUCUGGUGGAGCGGUGAAAUGCGUUGAGAUCGGAAAGAACACCAACGGUGAAGGCACUCUGCUGGGCCGACACUGACACUGAGAGACGAAAGCUAGGGGAGCAAAUGGGAUUAGAUACCCCGGUAGUCCCUGUCUCUUAUACA
rnacentral:rRNA from 1 species